CACUACUUGCCCCCUUGAGUCUGUCCCAGACUCCCUGUGUGUAGAUGUUAUUGCCAGAUUGUUGCCUUCACUCUGACUCAUGCAUGUCGGAAUUCUCCAUCUUCUCUGCUCUUCAUCUUGCUUCAUUUUGGCUGCAUUAAUUUCUAUUAGUUAGUCAUUAGUUUCUUUAUCUUUGUUUUGGAUUUUUUAGUGUCAAAUCAUAUGAUUUUCUAACUGAACUGAUGGAUGUUGGAUCUGAAUAUGCCAAAUACUAGUGAUUCUGUUGUGAUAUGUUGGUCUCGGGGCAAAUUGCUUGCAAUUGGUGUUUGGAUUUGGAUGUGGUCAUUUUAAAAGACUCACUUUCUUUUGAAAUAGGUAACAAUAUAUCUGAUAUAUCUAAUUUAUUCUGGUUUGUGAAAAUACAGUUCUUUAUUCCCUCUCCAUACUUUCUUCCGAACCUUUUCGUAAUCUAAAAUCAAAUUCAUCAAAUUAAUAAUUCAUUUGGUGGUCUUGUUGGUGGUAUCUGGACGAUUGAUUUCGUAUCUGGGUUUCUUCGUGUGUAGACCCAUAUUUUUCUCCUCUUCUGCCUUUUGUUGCCCCCAAACUGUUUGUGAUUUGUGCAUGUUCUUUCUCAUCUCUUAUUUUUUUUUUCCCGAGUUUGUUCCAUGAUCUUUUUAUUUUGGAUUUGUUCGGUGCCAUAUAUUUGUGUUUUUUUUCCUACCAUCUUUUCAGGUCUAGCGUGGGUUCAAUUUCUUGGAACGGCAUGCACUCCAGCUUGAAACAAGCUUUGCGCUCAUGUCGAUUCAGAUGAUGUUGUAACCGAUCCGAUGGAGAUGGAGACGGGUGUCAUCUUCUAUGAACUCGAGCAGCCUUAUGUGUACGAGGAUCCUGUCCUUCGCAACUUCUGUAUAGUGGCUGUGGAGCCUCGAGUCCGUAAGUACGUAGUUAAAGACCAUCCAUUUCAGCACCUAUUAGCUUCACCUCUCUUUGAUCCUGAUGCACUGUAAGUUUUUUCGAUGUGGUAGUUACAUCUUGCUUCUGUUCAUCAUCCUUUUGAUCACAUGCAUGGAGGUCCUAUUCCAGCACAGUAGGAUGGUCAGGCGGUGCCUGAGCCUGGCCCUAUCGUCGAUGACUACAUCCCUGAGUCUCCUCCAGUAGGUUUGGAUAUGUGGAUAGAGUCUCUUUUCUACUCACUCCACUAACCCUUUCACCAUAGAGCCUAUUAGGAUUUCCACCGCAGCUUCUGGUAUACCCUUAGCAGUUGAGCAGAUUUCUCUUAGUGGUGCAGCUUCUACAGGUGACCGCAGUGAUGGUAGUCCCCAGAGUACACCAAAGGUCAUCGUUAUUUCUGACGAUAAAGACAUUUAGGAGAUAGAGAUUGUGAAUCUGAUUUCUGAGGACGAUGAGGAUCCCGAGAUGGAUACAGAGAUCGUGAACUUGACUUCUGACAGCGUUUAGGUAGUGGCAUCGACAUCUUCUUUUGGCAGUGCUUCGGUUUAGUGUUUCUCUUGUUUUAGACUCUCACUUUUGUUUUUUGAGAGAUCAAUUUAGAAGACUAGGCUAGUCUGAGCAUCAGAUUAGGGGCUUCCUAUAUGGGCCAGACUCCGGAGAUGUUUUGAGUUGUAUAUAUGUACAUAACUGUGGGGGAGUAACUAACUUUUUUUUGGGUGCUAUAUAUAUAGUAUAUUAUCCUGUUUGUGUAUGUAUUUGUUUAUCUUCUUAGGUUGGGUAAUCUCGUGUUCCUUCUUAUUUGCGAUUUUCUUUAAGGAAGAUUUUUCAUAAAAAUCGAGUUCUGUUAACUCGAUUACAGGCUUGAUAUUAUUAAUAACAGUGUCAGUAUAGUUUCAAAUUGGUAACACUCGAUGUUUCGCUAUUAGAAUGCCAUACUGAAAAUUGGGUCGUUACAGUGGUCUUGUGGUCGCCCUGCAGUAGGGGUUGGAUGACUAUUUGGGGUAUUUUCUACAUAAAGGUAGGCUGUUUUAUCAAGGGAGGGCAGCUUUAACUGCAAAUUCUUCUCAGAUCCCACUUUUGCUGGUUGAGUUCCAUGAUAGUAGGGUAGGAGGACAUUCAAUCUUCUUUCAAACCUAUAAGCGGCUGGCAGCAAUGUUCAUUGGCACGGCAUGAGGCAAAGGAUCAGGGAUUAUGUUACAGGUUGCUACAUUUGCCAGUAAAACAAAUAUGCCGCGAUGAAACCGGUGGGGCUGUUAUAGCCCCUACUAGUUUCAGAGAGAGUUUGGGAGCAUGCUACAAUGGAUUUUGUGGCGGCAUUGCCAAAAUCUAAAGGCAUGGACACUAUCCUAGUAGUGUUCGAUCGAUCAACUAAAUAUGCUCACUUCAUCCCCUUAACUCAUCCAUUUUCAGGCAAGGAGGUGGCACUAGCCUUUAUUAAGGAGGUGGUUAAACUAUACGGGUUUUCCAAGUCAAUCAUAUCAGAGAGGGAUAGGGUGUUUCUGAGUAAGUUUUGACCCAAACUAUUCCAAGACGCAGGGACAAAAUUAAAGUACAGCACGGAUUUCAUCUGCAAACCGACGGACAAACCGAAGUGGUAAAUCACUGUUUGAAGAUUUAUUGUGGUGCUUUGUGGGUGCCACCCGAAGAAAUGGUUGGAGACCAUGGGUUGAGUUUUGGUUUAAUACCUCCUACAAUGCCUCAGCCCAAACAACACCAUUUCAAGCACUUUAUAGUGUGCCAACACCUGUUCUUUUAUGUGAAGAGACUUUUUGAUCGCAUGUUGAGGAAGUGGUAGCAUUGACCGCAGCCAGGGAUAUUGUUUUGGUAGAGUUGAAAACGCACUUGGUGCAGGCUUAGUAGUGGAUGAAACAAGCAACAGAUGGGCAUCAAAGGGAUGUGGAGUUCAAGCCCGGUGAGUGGGUUUAUUUGAAAGUGUAAUGUUAUUGAAUGUGGACACUAGCACGGAAGGUCAAUGAAAAGCUAAGUCCGUGUUACUGUGGACCGUUUAAAAUGAUUGAGAAGGUAGGGGCAAUGGCAUACAGGUUAGCCAUGCCUCAAAGGUGCAGACCUCACCCGAUCUUCCACGUUAGCAAGUUGAAAAAGGUUGUCUCACUGCAGCAUCUAGUCUAGAUGCUUCCACCGAGACUGCCUGAGGAUGGUUAGCUGGUGAUGCAUCCGUCUUAGAUUGUGGCAUUGUGAACCGCAGAGGAUGUGGCUUUGGAGUAUUUGGUGCGCUGGGUGGGCCUCUCUCCUUGUGAGGACAGCUGGGAGCGAGCGGUGACUGAUAAACUAUUAUUUUAUGGUUUAUAUUGUGUUCAAUUGUGUGGUUUUAUCAAAUCUUUACCCACUUAUUCAUAUGAUUAGCAUGUAUUUACAAUUCCUUCCC